rnacentral:tRNA from 1 species
GGAACAAUGGUCAAGCGGUUAAGACAUCGCCUUUUCACGGCGGUAACGAGGGUUCGACUCCCUCUUGUUCCA